AGAUUGAACGCUGGCGGCAGGCCUAACACAUGCAAGUCGAGCGGUAGAGAGGUGCUUGCACCUCUUGAGAGCGGCGGACGGGUGAGUAAUGCCUAGGAAUCUGCCUAGUGGUGGGGGAUAACGUUCGGAAACGGACGCUAAUACCGCAUACGUCCUACGGGAGAAAGCGGGGGACCUUCGGGCCUCGCGCCAUUAGAUGAGCCUAGGUCGGAUUAGCUAGUUGGUGAGGUAAUGGCUCACCAAGGCGACGAUCCGUAACUGGUCUGAGAGGAUGAUCAGUCACACUGGAACUGAGACACGGUCAGACUCCGUACGGGAGGCAGCAGUAGGGGGAAUA
rnacentral:rRNA from 1 species